GCCAGGUAUGGUGACGUAUGCCUGUAAUCCCAGCAGCUUGGGAGGCUGAGACAGGAGGAUCACAAGUUCAAAGCCAGCCUCAGCAAUCGCAAGGCACUAAGCAAUUCAGUGAGACCGUGUCUCUA
rnacentral:sRNA from 1 species